rnacentral:tRNA from 1 species
UUCGGUCGUUGGCCGAGCGGGCUAAGGCACAAGUUUUAGACUUCUCGGGCGUGAGUUCAAAUCCCAUGGCUGAAA